rnacentral:misc_RNA from 1 species
UCUCCGUUGGUGAACCAGCGGAGGGAUCAUUAUAGAGUUUUCUAAACUCCCAACCCUUUGUGAACUUACCUUUGUUGCCUCGGCGGGCGGCCCCAGGGGGGGCCCGCGGCCCUAUGGUGCCCGCCGGAGCUACAAAACUCUAGCUGUUUUAGUAACCUUCUGAGGAACAAGCAAAUAAAGUUAAAACUUUCAGCAACGGAUCUCUUGGUUCUGGCAUCGAUGAAGAACGCAGC